UAUAGAAGCCAGAAAAAAGCCAAAAAAACAAACAAACAAACAAGCAGUUAAUCAAUACAAAGUUUACAAAUCGUACCUAUCGACGGGUGCUGUGGUUUAUGCUGACAUGUGUGUACAUAUUUAAAUCGAAAAUUGUUUAUUCAAUAUGUAUUUCAAACUCAAUUUUGGUCUAACAUUAUUGUAUUAGUGAGAAUGAGAUGAAAAGUGAGCUUGAUAAAGAUUUGUUGCCAUGGAGAUAACAAUGUUUGAGAUAGUACUGGUACAUUAAAUGUAUAUGUAAGAACCUACUAGUCUAAAUGUAUACUACUUGCAUGUUCUUCUGGAGGUAAAAGCGGUAUUUUAUUGUGUCAAACUUAAAUGAGCCUAAUAUGCUUAUGUAUUUCACUCUAUAAUCAAAUCAAAUUUGGCGCCAAAAGCAAGAUAUUAUUAUUCUUACUUUGUAAAGAAUGUAUGGCAAGUUUUUGCAUUUCGUUUUAUUUAGUAUAUUUUUAAUGCUAAUAAACAGUUUUGCAUGAAUACGUUUUAAUUGACUUUAAUAAAUCACAAGUAUUGUGAAUUAAAAAACUCGGAUAUGUCAGAAUGAAUUUUGCAAAAAGUCCUCUUCAGCAAACAAUUAUUACUUCAUUAUAAUCUUGAUCUAUUUUAAAAAAACAUAGGAAAAAAUAUUUUCACUGGUAGCAUGUGUUCUAUCAUUUUUGCAUUUUAAUUUUGCAUGACAAAUAGAAGAUUAGAUAUCGUCAUUUAUAAGCUUUACUAUACCUUUUAAAUUUUGAUCAAUAUUCAUCAGUUAUAGGUAUUUAUCGGCAAUAAGUACUAAUAAUCAGCAUGCAAAGUAACGAGGUUUAUAUAAUUAAUACUUUUAAAUUGAAGUUUUCUUAUUUUUAUUAACUUUUUAAAAUAUUUAAAUUUAAGUAUUCAAUUAAAGUAAAACAAUUUAAAUAAAAUUUAAGAUUAAAUAUAUUAACUUUAUGUGAAAUACAGUUUCCACAUCGUUACUAUUUGAGGCUUUAUCUCAGUUCAUUAUCGUUGCUUGCAAUUUGCUGGUUCUUGUAUUUUUACCAGAUUAAUUCGACAUUUACCAUAAUACAUAAUCCAGCAAUUUUGAUGGAAUAGUAAUUAGAGUUUUGACAACAGUUGCAACACUGCUACUGGGUUUUGUUUGUAUAUCGAUACGGUAAGUUAACAUUAUUCACUAUUAGAACGUACAUGCUAAUAUGGCUUAAUUGUAUUGUAAGAGGGCUUGAUGAUCGAUGCCGUUUUUAGACAAUAUAGAUCUCCUAAAAUGAAAAGUUUUUUGUAAAGAUAUAGCAACAAAUUCAAAUUUCAAAUCUAAAAUAUAUGAUUUUUUAACCCAACAAAUCAUAUCUAAUGGUUAAUGGUUAAUUUGUUGAACACCAAGCCUCCUUAAUUUGGCAUCGCUUGGGUCGCUGAUAUGUAAUGGAUUUUUUCGAUGAUACUGUAAAUUCCUUAUAUUUCGCGAGUACUUAAUUCCACGAUCCCGCUGUUUUGUAUCAAAUCGCGAGAAUAUAAAAUUGCGAACGUGGAACUAUUAUCCUUAUUUCUUAUAGUUCUCAACUCUAAGAAAAAUAAUGGCGAGAUUUUUCAAUCUGCGAAGAGUGCUUCUCGCGAUUUUACUUGGAUAUCAAUUCCUCGCGUUUAAUUAGGAAUCUACAGUAAUAAAAUGAAACCAUUUCAGAAUACAGACAUUCGAGUAUACAUAUUUAUCUAAUUUGCUUUAUUUCUAAUAUGAUGUCUUCAAAUUAUCUGUAUUUUUUUUUAUUAUAGACGUAGAAGCAAUAGUUUUCGCCAACGUCAUUACUCGCUCGGUGGCGCGCGUGCACUUGACGUUAUAGAAAAAAAUUAAAAUGGCUGACAAAUUUAAACAGUGGUCGGUGCAACGUUUUAAUUUCGAGCUUCAUCAAAGAGGGGCAGCAUGUGGGGGAAGGAAGACUGAUCUGAUCAAAAGAUAAAUGAUUAACCCGCAGUAUAUGUAAUCGACCAAAACAUCUCAACAUACGACAUACGUUGGACCAAUAUUAGGCCAAUAUCAUUGUCUCAACUAAAAUAUGGUAAAAUUUUACAACAUUUACUUAACGUUGGCCCAAUGGUGUGUUACCAACUAACAUCGGCAAUUGAAUGGGAAUUUGUCAGGUGGGCAUUGGCCCAACAGUAGGCCAACGUUGUGUACCUAACACCAACGGACCAAUCGUUGCCCAACGUUGGUCUAGCACUGGGCCACAUGCUUACCCAAUGCCAACGGACCAACAAUAACCCAACGUUGCCCAAUGUAUGCAUGCCAUCUGAACAAAGCCCAAGCUCUAGUUAAAAUUGUUUCAUUCAGCACGAUACAUAAAACAAUAUAUAUGAGCUUCGCGAGUGUAGCGAAUUCGCUCGCGAAGCUGAUAGAUGUAUUCAUAUACCAUCCUUUAAAGCAUUUUUGAUGUGUCUUUUAUUUAUAUAGAAUUAUUUGAUAUAUGUUUUAAGCAUUAUUUCUUUGUUUUGAACUGUUGAGUUGAAAUAUACCUCAUCAUUGUUUUAUCAGUAAAAUUAAAGGUACUAUAGGAACUACAUUAAUGUAACUUUAGGCUAGUACUCUAAUAGUCCAAAUAUCUAAGUAUUCCUUGUCUUUUUAACCGAUUUUGAAUUUUUACUUGACAGGAAAAUCUGUCAAGUAACACUAAUUAAAAUUGGUUUAAUAGGCCAAGAAAACCUCAGAUCUUUCGGACUUUAUAUUGUCAUUGUACAUGUACAUGUUAAAACGCGUGUAUCAAGGUCUACGGAUUGUAUUACUCUCCAGAAAUUCCAGGCUUGAAUCGCAUGACUGAUAUAAGAAUUUCAGAGAAGAUCCCAUCAUAAUUCCAGAGCCAUUAGAUGUAUUCUGGCCUAUAACUGGCUUUCAGCAACUCAGACCAGAACACAAGCCAAUGCCACAGUUAACAUAUCACCAGAUUGAACAAUACUUUCUGUCUAGAAUGGCAGAAGACAAACAGAUGACAUCGGACCUUAAAGCCUUGGAAAAAGGAAAAGACCUUCUAACUUGAGAGAGAAUUUUUGAAUGCCGCAUUAGAUGAUACACAUAUUUAUUUAUCUGAGACAGCGGGUGCAGCAAUGACACAAAAGGUAAACCACUAGCAGCAGAGAGAAUCCCUUGGAAAAGAAAACACACCGAUGCAAUGCUGGAGGAUCCAAGGAAAGACAAGUACUUGAAACACUCUUCAGGAUACUCCAGUUACAUCUAUAACUGCAUGGUUAAUACAUUUAAGGUUGCAAAUAGAGACCUUGAUUACCUUCAACUUCCUUUAAUAGGGCACUUUGUUGACAGAGCAGUCACUGUCUCUUCAAAAGAUGCCAAGGACAUAGGGGAAUCUACAAGGAUGCAAGCCAAGAGUAAAGCCUUCAGUUUGUUCGAUAAAAGAAAAUAGCGAAUUACUGCCUCACGUUUUGGUGACAUUGUAUAAAUGACUUGCUGUAGAGACACUAGAAAAUUGUAUUCUAGCAUGUACCAACAUACGAUACGUCAAUCAUCACAUAUCCCAUCAUUCAUAGUAGGCAGCAUGAGAGUAUAGCAAUUUCCACGUUUGAAGAACUGACUCAUUUCAAGGUCUAAAGAGUGGGUUAUGUCUGUCAAAUACCCUUUCCUUGGUGCUACACCAGAUGGUCAAGUAGGGAAUGAAGCCAUGGUAAAAGUUAAAUGCCCACAUGGUGGUAGAGAUGUUGAUAUUCUUUCUUGGAACAAAUUCCCAAUUUUUGUUGAACCAAAUGGUAAAAUUACAUAAAAAUCAAGUCAUAUAAGUACCAUGACCAACUCAACGACUACUGUGUAUUUCAGGUACAAUACUCUGCUACUUCAUUGUAUACACAUUUUGUAACAUUUUGAUCUUGAAACAAACUUGAAUAUAUGAAUAUUGUCUGUUUAGUUUAUUGCCAAAACUAGAAAUGUUCUACAAGAAACAUUUUAGACAAAAUGUCACUUCUUGUUUGUAAUAGGCGUAUAUGCUAUUAGUUUUCAUGCACAUGUUAGCUUAUUCACAUAUUAUACACUUCAUUGUUGAAGUAGUUUGGUGCGCUAGAUAUAGCAAAAAGAAGACAGAAUGUACAUUUUUGAUGAAGUGGCUUGGUAUUUGCAUCUUCAUUUGAAGUCACAUUAAAGUCAUUCACUUUUUGUGAAAUAGGUCAAUCAGUAAUGUUACAGUACUGUUCUGUAUGAAUAUAAUAUACAAUUAUAUCCCGCUCCGAAACGGGGAAAUAUACUUUUUGACCCUUAUGUGUCUGUCUGGCUAUCGGUAGUAAUUUUCUGUCACAUCUUUUUUUUCUGAAAAUAUUAACUGCACCUGCUUGACAUUUUAACACUCUUUAUCAAAUAUGUAAUUUGGUGGGAUUCAUUUUUUAACAAACACAAUAUCAACCUCAAGUUAAAUGCUGACCUUACUUAUUACUUAUAUUCAUUAUGUAUUAUUAUAAAUGUGAGGAAAGAAACUGAAGAUGUAGUUCAAUAAAAGUAUAUCAUCUCUUGAUCUGUACAAAUUUAAAAUUAAUUAUUUGGCAUUUGUAAUUGUCAAUGUUUUUAUCUUAAUAAUACCAGUAAUUAAAACAGACUCUUGUUAUCGU